CCUACAAGUGCCAGCUCUUUGAAUGCAUUUUGCAUAUUCUCACAGCAACGUUGCAAGUAGUUGUUUUUAUCCCCAUUCAACAAAUAAAAAUAAGUUCAGAGAACUUAACGUGUUAGAUAUUAGAGGUAAUGAAAGGUGUCCUCAGCAUUCAAACCCAGGAUGGUUAAUUCUUUCCCUUAACAACAUAGGGCCUGCAUGGCUCUGACUGAGUUACUUAGUUCUUUGUCAUUUUACCAUGACCAAUUUAAUAUUUCUAAUACUUAGUUUAUAAGAUUAUUGUUUAUUUAAUAAAAUAUAUUUACUAGAGGCCAUAUUUGUAAGGCUAAAGUUUUGAUAGAAUCCAAAAAGUAAAACUGAAAGAUGAAGUGAUUGGCCUAAAGAUUGACUUUUUGAAAAAAACAAUCUUAUACAUCUGAGACAUUUAUUUAUUUAUAAAAUAUUUUGCGAAGUUCUUAAAUUUCAAUGUGCCUAAUCAACAGCUGCACCUCUCUUUCCUCAGUCAACAUCAUCAACUAUGACGGGAGCUUAUUUAUUUUAUUUUGCAGUUUUCUGGAAAAAUUACUUAAUUUCUGAUUCUGACAAAACAGCAUGAAACUAUUCAAAACACGGAGUCCCCUUCGGAAUCCUCGGAGUCAAGCUCUGUGGAAGCAGGAACUGCUUUUGGUUAUCCUUGAAUAAGCAGAAAUUUUUAUAGUUCUUUGGAAAAUAUUUCUGCUAAAAUCAGAGAAAACAGAUGAAGAAACAAAGCUCGGUCAGGCAGGCUGUCUGGCAGAAGUUCACAGAGCUGUGUCAGCAGCACAGCCUGACGGGAAUCCACAUCUGUUCAAAGCCAAAGAUGGUGUUCUUAACCCUCAUGCUCUUCAUCAAUGCUUUGCUGGCAGCCUGAAAGAACACUGGCACUUCCCAAAAGUAGCUCAUUUCUUUUUUUGGGAUUAAAUAUACACUCUGGACCUCAUACAUAUGAAAUAUGUUAGGGCUGUUUAUCAGAGGAUGGAAAACUUUUAAGGUUUGGAAACAUUUUAUUAAAGAACUCAUGAAUAUGGGAAAAUAAUAAGCAUUCAACAACUUUGAAUUGAAAUGUUUUUGAGAUUUUAACAAACAAGAAUUAAAUAAAACAUAAAUUUAGGGAGUUACAGCAACAUUUUAAAUAAUUAAUCUAUUCAUGGUAUCAAUUUUGAAAGAUAUUGAUACCUUAUCAGAAGAAUGAUGUUUCCUUACUGUUUUUGCAAAAGACGCUCAUGACCAGUCUCGUUCAUAGGAGAGUCUAAUUUCAGAGUGGAUGAAAGACUCAGAUUUUUGCAGCUGAAGAGACUUUAGAAGUCAUCCAGAUAAAUCACUCUGAGUUUUCUAGACAGAGGCUUGUCUCAUUUUUCCUUAAACAUCUCUAGUGAUGGAAUAUGCUCUGCCUUCUGGGGCAUCACAUUUCAUCCUAACAGCUCUUGUUAGUUCUUUCUUUCAAUUGAGUCCAAAUCUAUAUCUUUAAUUUCCACCCAAUUGCUUCCUUUUCUUUGCUUUUCCAAAUAACAGCCCAAAUUUUUUCUUUCUCUUGCCCCAAUUCCCUAUUUUUCUCAAGUACUCCAUAUGUAACAUGGUUCUGGGUCCUUUUGUCAUUCUGAUAGAUUUUCUUAGUAUAUAUGUUCCUUUUUUUGAAGUUCAUUCUUAAGUGUGUGAUUCCAAACAAAAGACAAUGCACAAAGAACUGUUAGUAAAUUGCAGAAUAAAAUAGCACUAUCGUUUUCCUUGAUUCACCAUGUUUUAUGUGAAUAACACAUGAAAAUACUAACCACAAAACAUACAAUAAAAAUUAUCAGCCUGAUGUUUACUCAGACUAAAUGUAAUGAAAAACUUAAUCAAUAAUGCAACAAUACAACAUGAGGAUUAUAGUUAAUAGAACUGUAUUAGAGUGUUUCGUUCAAUAAAUAGAUUUUUAGCUGCUCUUGUCACACAAAAAAGUGUGUGAGAUGCUUCACUAUAGUAACCAUAUACAUAGACAUAUAAUCAUAUACGUAUCACAUAACAUCGUGUUGUAACCCUCAAAUAUAUGCAAUAAAAUUUAUUUGAAAAACUAAUAUGACAAUACAAUUGCUCUUGCUACCAGCGCAGUUUGAAUUCAAAAUUUUAGACAAAUGAUAGACUACAGAAAAUACUUGGUCAUAGAAAACGUUAGUCUUUUUAGACUGCAUCUACGUACGUCAACUACCUUGAUGUUUUUCAAUUAUGAUUUUGUUACUUGAAUUUCUCCCUCUUCUCACCCAUGCUUGCUUGAUGACUGCCCAUUAUUCUGUCACCUCACCGUCUCUGUCCUCUAAGAAACUGCCCCUAAAUAUUUCAGCUUUAGUUGAGCUGCUUCUUUCUCGAAUUCUUAUUGAAAGUUAAAAUUUUGUUAAAAAGAUCUUCAGUUAAUAAUCUACCAAUAAAAAAUGAAUAAUGUUGAUGUUUAUGACAUCUAUUAUUUAUACAAAAUCUAACAUUACCAUUUCUAAAGAAAAAAUCUAAACAUUAAUUGAAGAGAACCAUAAAGCUCAACAUAGUACUGCUCCAAGUAGUUUUGUAAUACAAGUUAUCAUUUAAUACUGAAUACCUUGGAUUAAUUUUAAGACUUGAUAAAUACAUUCUAAUCUCAUAACCCAGUUUUAUCCACAAUAAGUGAACUAUUCUUAAUAUUGGAAAUUGAGUAAAUUGUUGAAAGUCGUAGUGUAAUGAAUGACAUGCAAUCUAAUAGAAGCACUUAACAAUUCUUUUAAUAAAUGAGCAUAUUCAAAGCCCACAAGACUUUGGUUCUGCGUUGUAAAUUAAUCAAAAGGUGAACAGUUCCCUUCUUUGUUUUCAAUAAAUACAUUUAUUCAAUUCUUUUCAGUAAAAAUGGUUAUUUCCCCAGAAUUCUAAUUAAAAUUCCAGUUAAAUACUUAAUUCUUUUGACCUCUAAACAAUAUAGUUCGUUAACAUGUAUUUGUGCAUUCAAGUUCUUAUUCCAUGUAAUGUGCAUUUGUAUAGUCUCCCAGUAUAAACUGAAGUUUGCUUGCUUGGAAAAAACAUAUUGUUUUCACCCACUGCAAGAUUUUAGAGGGAGCAUAGGGUCUGCAGCCCGAUCCAGCUGAAGGAAUGCUUAUCUCCAGUAUCUCUGUCUUGUUUAUUGCAAACAAAGCUCAUUUUUGUCCUUGUCUGACGGAUUUUCUUUUCAAUGAAACAUUUUGGUCUUUUCAUAAAUGUAAUUUUUGUCUAUUACUUAACCACUCUGUACCUCUAUUUCUUCAUCUGUAAAAGAAGAGUAAGAGUGGUUCUUUCUUACAGGGUGUUGUGAGUGUUAAAUGUAUUAAUACGUACGAAGUAUUUUGAACAUAGUGAAUAGCGUGCUGUUAGUAGCUUGUGAAAGUGAAUAAUAUGCUGUCAAUAGCACAUAGCGAAUAAUGUGCUGUUAGUAGUAGUAGCUUGUGAAAGUGCCUCUGUUACCAGGUAGUAAGGGAAUCCACGGUUCUUAGUUGUCCAGGGAGAAAGAUUUCGGCCAAGUGACAAUUCAGAUAACAGAGAGCUUUAUUGAAGGGAAAUCGAGAGCAGAGAGUUUAUAGAUAGACGGUACACUGAAAGAUAAGGCCGAACGGGCUACCGGAAGAGGGUGAGCCAGCAGCAGCCCGAGACUUGGGUUUUGAUGCUGUUGGUUUUUUUUCUUGAAGUUAGCUCCUAUUUCUUUAAUCUCUGCCUUUUUUCUCUGUCUAGUUUUCCCGCUCCUGUCUUAAAUCCCUGACUUUUCCCCUCCUAGUUCCUACGCCAGGCUUGUAGGACCCUCCCUUACUAUUAGUUGGUGCGCAUACGUGCGCUCGGUGUUGGAUCUCAAGUUUGUCUAAUGGCUGCGUUGCUCAUUACCGCCACCCCCAGGAAGGUUGUUUAGCGGGUCGAAUCUAAACUGUGCCUGCGAAUCUCUGACAAAUUUUCUCCUUUGAGCUCUUCCCCUUUAUCAGCAUAUACCUAGUGAGAUUCUGACACCUUAACUGUAGAAUGAGUGAUUACUGGGCAUCUUAAGGAGCUCUGCUUCCUGUAUAGUUUUUUUCCCUCCUCUUUGCUCAUAUCUGCACGCAUGUUUCGGGUGGUUUCUGGGGUGUGAGAUUAUCCAGACCUCCUUUUUCUCAGGGGCUCUUGCUCCUGGUCAUGUCUAGCUCUAGCUGUCUGCCUACUGUAACACUACCACAGCACAACACUAGUUGAAGUAAUGCUAAAUAAUCAAUAAGCCAGAUUUCCCCUCUGCAACCCAAAUCUAUAGCAAUGGUAGUCAUUUUGCUGACAUAGAACAACAACAAUUUGGUGAUAUUUUUUGCCUCUUUGCUCCAUUAAGACUCCUGGAUGAACUAUAAACUCAACUUAGGUUUAUACAAUAGAAUUUGGAUUAAAGAAAUAUCAAGCAGAAAAAUUUGUUCAGCAGGUGGAAGUAUAUUAAAAUCAG
rnacentral:lncRNA from 1 species